rnacentral:rRNA from 1 species
GACGAACGCUGGCGGCGUGCCUAACACAUGCAAGUCGAACGGAACUGUUUUGAAAGAUUUCUUCGGAAUGAAUUUGAUUUAGUUUAGUGGCGGACGGGUGAGUAACGCGUGAGUAACCUGCCUUCAAGAGGGGAAUAACAUUCUGAAAAGAAUGCUAAUACCGCAUGACAUAUCGGAACCACAUGGUUUUGAUAUCAAAGAUUUUAUCGCUUGAAGAUGGACUCGCGUCCGAUUAGUUAGUUGGUGAGGUAACGGCUCACCAAGACCGCGAUCGGUAGCCGGACUGAGAGGUUGAACGGCCACAUUGGGACUGAGACACGGCCCAGACUCCUACGGGAGACAGCAGUGGGGGAUAUUGCGCAAUGGGGGCAACCCUGACGCAGCAACGCCGCGUGAAGGAGGAAGGUUUUCGGAUUGUAAACUUCUUUUAUUAAGGACGAAAAAUGACGGUACUUAAUGAAUAAGCUCCGGCUAACUACGUG